rnacentral:piRNA from 1 species
UGAUCUCAAUGUUCUGUGAGCCAAAA